rnacentral:rRNA from 1 species
GAACGCUAGCGGCAUGCUUAACACAUGCAAGUCGAACGGCAGCACGAGGAGCUUGCUCCUUGGUGGCGAGUGGCGGACGGGUGAGUAACGCGUAGGAAUCUACCUUAUAGUGGGGGACAACCCGGGGAAACUCGGGCUAAUACCGCAUAAUGUCUAAGGAUCAAAGCAGGGGACCUUCGGGCCUUGCGCUAUAAGAUGAGCCUGCGUCGGAUUAGCUAGUUGGUGGGGUAAAGGCCUACCAAGGCGACGAUCCGUAGCUGGUCUGAGAGGACGACCAGCCACACUGGGACUGAGACACGGCC